GAUGAACGCUGGCGGCGUGCCUAAUACAUGCAAGUCGAGCGAACAGACGAGGAGCUUGCUCCUCUGACGUUAGCGGCGGACGGGUGAGUAACACGUGGAUAACCUACCUAUAAGACUGGGAUAACUUCGGGAAACCGGAGCUAAUACCGGAUAAUAUAUUGAACCGCAUGGUUCAAUAGUGAAAGACGGUUUUGCUGUCACUUAUAGAUGGAUCCGCGCCGCAUUAGCUAGUUGGUAAGGUAACGGCUUACCAAGGCGACGAUGCGUAGCCGACCUGAGAGGGUGAUCGGCCAACCUGAACCUGAGCACGGGUCCAGACCCUUACGGGAGGCAGAGGUGGGAAAUCUUCGGCAAUGGGCGAAGGCUUGACGGGCAACCGCCGGGUGAGUGAUGAGGGUCUUCGGUUCGUAAAACUCUGUUAUUAGGAAAGAACAAAUGUGUAAGUACCUAUGACCGCUUUGCCGGUCCCUAAUAAGAAGGCCCCGGCUACCUCCGU
rnacentral:rRNA from 1 species